GACGAACGCUGGCGGCGUGCUUAACACAUGCAAGUCGAACGAGUGGCGCACGGGUGAGUAAUACGUGGGUAACCUGCCCUCUUUUUUGGAUAAGCCUUGGAAACGGGGUCUACUACCGAAUAAAGGGGGAUGGGCUCGCGGCCUAUCAGGUUGUUGGUGGGGUGAUGGCCUACCAAGGCGGUGACGGGUAGCCGGCCUGAGAGGGUGACCGGGCACGUGUGGAAGGAGAGAAGGCCCGAGAUCCUAACGGGAGGAGCCGGGGGGGAUUUUGCCAAAUGGGGCGAAGCCUGAAGCAGGGGAGGCCGGGGGGGGAGGAAGGCCUUUGGGUUUGUAAACUGUUUUGGUAAUCAACGGGUAGGUGGAGAAGAAGCGCCGGCUAACUACGUGCCAGCAGCCGCGGUAAUUC
rnacentral:rRNA from 1 species